CUGAGCCGUGUGCGGUGUAAACUGCAUGCACGGUUCUAAGGGGAGGGGGUGGCCGCAAGGCCACCUCCUUACCCGAC
rnacentral:ncRNA from 1 species